rnacentral:misc_RNA from 1 species
UUUCCGUAGGUGAACCUGCGGAAGGAUCAUUACCGAGUGAGGGCCCUCUGGGUCCAACCUCCCACCCGUGUUUAUCGUACCUUGUUGCUUCGGCGGGCCCGCCUCACGGCCGCCGGGGGGCACCCGCCCCCGGGCCCGCGCCCGCCGAAGACACCAUUGAGCGCUGUCUGAAGAUUGCAGUCUGAGCAUCUUAGCUAAAUCAGUCAAAACUUUCAACAACGGAUCUCUUGGUUCCG